rnacentral:lncRNA from 1 species
GUGCUUUUGAAGGGGAGCUGAUGAUGAUUGCAGAUUUGUGACAGGUGCGUGUGAUCAGUACUCAGGUGAUGGUGUUUGCUGUGAUUGGGAGGUGGCUGAGCCUGGCCGAUCUGUGACACACGUGUUGAGUUUUAUUUGCUAUAUAUAAAUGACAACAAGACUUCAGGAAUGAAUGAAAAAUAUGCAUUUUAAAAUAGCAGUGCUGCCAUUUUAGAAUUAUUGUUUAAUGUCACUUAAUUUCUUGAACGCAGGGGUAAAGCUUUUUUAGUGGUCCAUACUUGAAGGCCAUACAAGGUGGACUGUGAGAAGCAAAGCCACACAAUGUGUGCAAAGGAGCGAUGGACGCUUGGGUCAAGGAGGGACACAGAAUCACACAGACCUUGCCAUUCCCUCAGUAUCUCUUUUUUCUGGCCAAGCACAGCAGUCUACAGUGAUGGCUGGGGGGGCCUAAGAACGCUCACUGUUUCCAAAUCCCUUAAAUAUUUCACUCCUCUGACAGAGCUGAACACUGACUCCUCUGUUUGCCUUCUUUGUGCUGUGCAUUUGCACCUGUUCCAGCUCUAAGUCCUGAUCUGCUCCUCUGUUCCUUCUCACUGCAGUGCCUUCCACCCCCUUUUUUUUUUUUUUUUUAAGAAAAAUCCUCGCCAGGCCAGCAUUAUGCUAAUUUCCCCCACAAUAGUUUAGGUGAAGAAAACAUAUUGCAUGCUAUCUUAACAAUGACUUCUCUCUCUCGGUCUCACUUCCAUGCUAAUGUACCCUGUGGCUAACGGCAACCUCUCCCCAUUGUGUGGUGUUCCUUGCAGUGACAUUUGUUCCUAAUCAGGGGAAGGUAUAUCAUCAGCAUUGUGUGCCAUGAAGAACUAAACUGAGAAUGCCUUUCAGUUCCUGAAUUUGAAUUGAGGUAGCAGACAGAGUGCAUUAUAAUUCACAUUUACUCAUUAAAAAAGAACAACUAGUGUGGGAUGAAAUUCAGAGAAAUUCCUGUAACUGCUAUAAAAGUGUUUUUAUACACAUUUAAAUCUUUAUUGAAAUAAUAAUCAAGUUGGAUACAAUUAAAUCAUACGUGCACA